rnacentral:ncRNA from 1 species
UUGUGCAAUGUGUUGAAUGUAGAACAUUUGCACAAAUUUUUUUGUCAUCCACCCAUUAUCAGGUCUUUGAUAGACAUUUUUUAUUGACUCGUGUCUAUCUGAAAUCAAACAUAAACUAUGUUGUGGGGUGACAUGCCUUUUUAUUCCAUUCGAGGAGGGGCUUGCAUUUGAUUAGCUAGUUGGUAAGGUAAUAGCUUACCAAGGUGAUGAUCAAUAGUUAGUCUGAGAGGAUGAUCAAUCACACUAGGACUGAGACACGGCCUAGACUCCUAUGGGAGGCAAUAUUAGGUAAUUUUCCACAAUGAGCAAAAUUCUGACGAACCAAUGCCACAUGAGGGUAGAAGGCCUAUGGCAGAUGAACUUCUUUUCCCAGAGAAGAGGCAAUGACAGUAUUCGGGGAAUAAACAUCGGCUAACUCUAUGCCACAUGCUUUCUUUGUUUCACUCUCGACAACGACAAAGGCUAUUGGAAGGAUUUUA